UACCAGUAGUUUGACCUCGGAUCAGGUAGGGAUACCCGCUGAACUUAAGCAUAUCAAUAAGCGGAGGAAAAGAAACCAACAGGGAUUGCCUUAGUAACUGCGAGUGAAGCGGCAUCAGCUCAAAUUUGAAAUCUGGCGUCUUCGGCGUCCGAGUUGUAAUUUGGAGGGGCAUCUUCGGGGAGGACGCGGGUCUAAGUUCCUUGGAACAGGACGUCAUAGAGGGUGAGAAUCCCGUCAUUGGCUUGCUGCUCCUCUCCAUGUGAAGUGCCUCCGACGAGUCGAGUUGUUUGGGAAUGCAGCUCAAAAUGGGUGGUAAACUUCAUCUAAAGCUAAAUACUGGCGAGAGACCGAUAGCGCACAAGUAGAGUGAUCGAAAGAUGAAAAGCACUUUGAAAAGAGAGUUAAAAAGUACGUGAAAUUGUUGAAAGGGAAGCGCUUGAGACCAGACUCAGCGGGAGGUGAUCAGCGGUGCUUUUGUGCCGUGCACUCGCCUUCUGUUGGGCCAGCAUCGGUUUCGGUGGCGGGAUAAAGGCCGGGGGAAUGUGGCUCCUCUCGGGGAGUGUUAUAGCCCCUGGUGCAAUGCCGCCUACCGGGACCGAGGACCGCG
rnacentral:rRNA from 1 species